UUCCGGUUGAUCCCGCCAGAGGUCAUUGCUAUUGGAGUCCGAUUUAGCCAUGCUAGUUGCACGAGUUUAGACUCGUAGCAGAUAGCUCAGUAACACGUGGCCAAACUACCCUAUAGACGGCGAUAACCUCGGGAAACUGAGGCUAAUAGCCGAUACAGUUCACUGCCUGGAGUGUCGAGAGCUGGAAACGUUCCGGCGCUGUAGGAUGUGGCUGCGGCCGAUUAGGUAGACGGUGGGGUAACGGCCCACCGUGCCGAUAAUCGGUACAGGUUGUGAGAGCAAGAGCCUGGAGACGGAAUCUGAGACAAGAUUCCGGGCCCUACGGGGCGCAGCAGGCGCGAAACCUUUACACUGCACGACAGUGCGAUAGGGGGACUCCGAGUGCGAGGGCAUACAACGCCCUCGCUUUUCUGCACCGUAAGGUGGUACAGGAACAAGUGCCGGGCAAGACCGGUGCCAGCCGCCGCGGUAAUACCGGCAGCACGAGUGAUGGCCGAUUUUAUUGGGCCUAAAGCGUCCGUAGCCGGCCGAGCAAGUCUGUUGGGAAAUCCACGCGCCCAACGCGUGGGCGUCCAGCGGAAACUGUUCGGCUUGGGGCCAGAGGACUCGAGGGGUACGUCCGGGGUAGGAGUGAAAUCCCGUAAUCCUGGACGGACCACCGAUGGCGAAAGCACCUCGAGAAGAUGGACCCGACGGUGAGGGACGAAAGCUUGGGUCUCGAACCGGAUUAGAUACCCGGGUAGUCCAAGCUGUAAACGAUGCUCGCUAGGUGUGCCGCAGCUACGAGCCUGCGCUGUGCCGUAGGGAAGCCGAGAAGCGAGCCGCCUGGGAAGUACGUCCGCAAGGAUGAAACUUAAAGGAUUGGCGGGGG
rnacentral:rRNA from 1 species